rnacentral:rRNA from 1 species
AUGGUUGAAGACUGGAAUGAUCUGCAUGAGUUGGUUACCACUGCAUGUUAUUCCCCUGAUGGACAGGUUGCAAUGGUGGCCUGGUGGGAUCUCACAAGGGAAGCUGCCAUUUAUUUGAUACAACUGUUUGCUCAAGGAAGCUCCUGGCAAGUCCUGACCACUUCUGCAGAUUCAAGAAUCCGUGUUGUUAAUGGCUAUGGGCUUGUUCACAAAUUUUUAAAGGGGUUCAGCAAUACCAGAAGCCAGAUCUCAGCUUCUGUAGCUCCAGAGUGUAAAUUUGUAGUCUGUGCAAGUGAGGGCUCCCAUGUGUUAAUGUGUAUGUCUGGAGACAUGGCAACAGUCCCCGUCCAAGCAGAAGCAGGAGUCCAUGAUGUAGCUGUCCAACUCGCAUGCCCAGUAUCAUUUGAGCGUCGUAGCAGCAGGCAGCCAGACACAGCGAUUCAGACGGUGCAGUGA